rnacentral:sRNA from 1 species
AUUGUAAUUAUUGGGCCACUGAGAAUGUUAUGAUGUUUUGAAGAACAUCAAAAUUAUGAUAUCUUCUAAAGGUGGAAAGAGAAAGAAAAAAAAGACCAUUUGAUGAUCGCUUCAAUCCUACUAUAUUAUUUGGGAAGUACAUUUUAAAUGUAACCUUAAUUUUUGUAAGUAAUUACAUAGGUAUGUCAUUAGAAAUAAAAUUUUAAAGAGUAAAUUAAUUUAUCUCUUUAAGGAUUAAAAAGUCAAAUACUAAUUUAAUU